rnacentral:tRNA from 1 species
GCGCCCGUAGCUCAGCUGGAUAGAGCAAUGGACUACGAAUCCAUAGGUCGGGCGUUCGAAUCGCUCCGGGCGCACCA